rnacentral:rRNA from 1 species
GACGAACGCUGGCGGCGUGCUUAACUCAUGCAAGUCGAACGGAAAGGCCCUGCUUUUGUGGGGUGCUCGAGUGGCGAACGGGUGAGUAACACGUGAGUAACCUGCCCUUGACUUUGGGAUAACUUCAGGAAACUGGGGCUAAUACCGGAUAGGAGCUCCUGCUGCAUGGUGGGGGUUGGAAAGUUUCGGCGGUUGGGGAUGGACUCGCGGCUUAUCAGCUUGUUGGUGGGGUAGUGGCUUACCAAGGCUUUGACGGGUAGCCGGCCUGAGAGGGUGACCGGCCACAUUGGGACUGAGAUACGGCCCAGACUCCUACGGGAGGCAGCGGUGGGGAAUAUUGCACAAUGGGCGGAAGCCUGAUGCAGCAACGCCGCGUGCGGGAUGACGGCCUUCGGGUUGUAAACCGCUUUCGCCUGUGACGAAGCGUGAGUGACGGUAAUGGGUAAAGAAGCACCGGCUAACUACGUG